GUUCACAAACAUAUUUUAGUUUCAUGUUAUUGGUUUUUAAACAAAAUUCAGAGACACCGUGGGGUCUCAGCGGACUUUGAAGGAUUCUUGAUUCAACGUCAGGUGCCCCUAUAAUCUAAGGCUCAUUCUACAUCUUUAUUUUUUACUUCAUCUGCCUCACUCUUCCCCUUUCUGUCCAAAAUUGGCCUUGGUUUACUUCCUUCUCCUUUUUUCUCCUUUGAAUGCUGUGGCUUCAACAGUAAGGGGAAGAUGCUGAGAAAGAAAGGCAAGGUGCUUCCUAAUGGAGACUGAUGAAGCCGGAAAGCAGAUAAUGAACUGAAACAGGAUUCCUCACUGCAAUGAAAGUCAGGGCUGGCGAUAAUGAAUGCAGUUGUCUCUAUUGAGCCCAGAAGCUCCACUCUACGUAGAACUUUGUGAAAUGAGGUCUUCCUUGUAAAACAACAGAUUGUGAGGAGUGAAAUCUAUGUUUAAAUUGCUGUUAAACUGAGCUAAGCAAAGUCAAGAAAUAGCCCUCCAACUCAACAGAUUAAUCCUGCAAGCAAGGCGCUCAAAAAUGUCAAAGAGGCUUGAAGUCCUUCUUGAAUCUUCUGGCAACCUUUGAAAGGAAACCGUUGUAAAAUUUCUUCUGCCAAGAAGGAGCUUAAGCAUCUCAAGGGCAACCUGAAGCUAUUGUCCAAGGUUGCUUCUCUGAAUGAAGGGACAGUCUCAAGUCAGGAACUUGUGAUACUGUGAGUGAACAAAAGAAGAUGAUACUCAGGUUCAAGCACUUUGAAACUCUGGAGAAAUGUUUCCCUGGGCUGGGGAGUAUCAACAAAAUAUCCCAGAGUGUGGGACACAGUAAAGAAGGAACUGAAGGAAUGUUUAUUCCAUAAUAAGGUUGGAUAAUAAGUUUACUGCUCCUGUACUCCCAGUAUGAAUCUCAACAUCGCUAGCUUUUCUGCCGUGCUGGAUGAAAAGAGUGGGGUCUGGAUCGAAGAGAUGUGCUCUUUGAGAUUCUUCUGUGGUGCCAGGAUUUUGAAUUCCAAUGAAGUCCAACAUUUUUGGGUGUUGGGUGCUAAAUGAGACAGAUGCUCUCCUGGGCCCGUGAAAGAUGAAUCAGACAUGUUCUCUGCUUUUGAGGCUCACAGCUGUGCCUGGAGGCUGACUGCUGGAAAACCAGAGUGUAAAGUAAUAAGUACCACCAUGGAGUUAUGUCCGAGGACCAGAGCGGCAUGAAUGUGACAUUUUGAAGCUAGACUCGGAUACCAUCUUUGGGAUUUCAGUCUGAAAAUACAAUUCUGAAAAAUCAACAGAACAAGGUUUUGUGGGACAAAAUGCCAAUAAGGUCAUUGCAUUUCUUUCCUACUGUUCCAGUGCCAUGCUCACAAUUACCUUAACUCUUGUCAAAAUAUUUUCUACGGUAAUAGCCAAAACAUAAUUAACACCUUUUCUUCAUGCUGAAAAUAUCAUUGGUAGCCAUAAAACAAAUUUGGAGAAAGCUUUUCAGCACUUUAACUCAGCAAAUGGCUACUGUGGUUAUACUGUGGUUAUUGGUUAUUGGUAUUUGCCUGCUCAUAGGAGUAACACCCCAUAAUACCCUGCUUUCUCUCCUCCCAAUAGCUCUAACUAUAUGGGAUAUGGAGAAACAGAAAGGUCAAGGGAGUAGGUAGGGGUUGGGUGGGGUGUGGAAACAAGUCGUGAAAUUCUGUGGGAAAUUAGACAUGAAAUAACCUUUCUGUGCUUUAGUUAUUGUUAUUUGCCUCUGUUAUUCUCCAACUUUUUCAUGUAUUUUUCCUGUAAUCAGGGUGAUAUUCUGAGAUAGUCUGUUUUCCAAAAGCCUGUCUUAAUGUCAGACAGGCAAAAAGUAUGGGUUAAUUUUGUCAUGAAUGGAAAGGCCCUUUAUGGCGUUUCCUGUAUUUUUGGUUCAGGCUACAAAAGCCGAAGUAGUUAUAAUCAGAGAUUUCCAGCAGGGGGUGUACCCACUUCUAUAGGGUAAGUUCUUUUGAAACCAAAUCACAUCAAACAUCUGAAUAUUAUAUGUAGUGUUACUGCUGAUGGUAAAAGCUGGAAUGUUGAUAACAUUUUUUAUGGCUGUCAUCUCUUUUGAUCCUAAGCAUGUGAAUACUUUGUUAGGAUGUGUUAAAGAACUAGAAAUUUGUGGAUGAUAUUUAAAUUAAAAACCUAAAAUGCCCGACUGAAAUCUUAUUCUGCUAAUUUUUUCAAAGUAAAUGAAGAACAAAGCUUUGGGUGAUUUUAAUUAUCCAGUGGAGAACAAGUGCUUAAAUUUUUUCCUUUUUAGAUAAGAAGAGUAGUUGAUCCAAGAGAGAUUGGUAAUAUUUACUCUUAUCUCUCCAGAGUGUUUCUGUGUGUAUGUAAAAUGAUAAGUUACUUAUUUUCUCAAAGUUUUUUUGUUUUGGGUGGGGAGGGUUGGUGUUUAAAGCUGUUUCCCUGAAGGCAUGGUUCCUAAUCAAUUUUAAAAUAUACCAUAUUAUCCUUGAGUUUUAUUUUCUGCUCUUUAUAGCCUUUAUUUGUAUAUAUCUAAGCAUUUAUAACCGUAGAAGUUUGACCCCCUUUUUCCAUUUUCAGAUUUUUAUUUAUGCAGAAAACUGUACGCUUUCUCUUGCGAGAGGAGCAGAUACAAAAAUUAAAAUGAUAUAAACUUGUUAGUUAUUUGUACUGGUAAGCAGCUCACCAGUGUAUUAGUAUUAAUAAGGAGCAAAGUUGUAAAGUUGAC
ensembl:lncRNA